rnacentral:rRNA from 1 species
GAUGAACGCUAGCUACAGGCUUAACACAUGCAAGUCGAGGGGAAACGACAUUGAAGCUUGCUUCGAUGGUCGUCGACCGGCGCACGGGUGGGUAACGCGUAUCCAACCUGCCUCUGACCAAGGGAUAACCCGUCGAAAGUCGGCCUAAUACCUUAUGCAGUCGUCGGAAGUCAUCUGAUGACGACGAAAGAUUUCAUCGGUGAGAGAUGGGGAUGCGUCUGAUUAGCUUGUUGGCGGGGUAACGGCCCACCAAGGCAACGAUCAGUAGGGGUUCUGAGAGGAAGGUCCCCCACAUUGGAACUGAGACACGGUCCAAACUCCUACGGGAGGCAGCAGUGAGGAAUAUUGGUCAAUGGGCGAGAGCCUGAACCAGCCAAGUAGCGUGCAGGAUGACGGCCCUAUGGGUUGUAAACUGCUUUUAUGCGGGGAUAAAGUGAGGGACGUGUCCUUCAUUGCAGGUACCGCAUGAAUAAGGACCGGCUAAUUCCGUG